rnacentral:rRNA from 1 species
GUGGGGAAUAUUGGACAAUGGGCGCAAGCCUGAUCCAGCCAUGCCGCGUGAGUGAUGAAGGCCUUAGGGUUGUAAAGCUCUUUCACCGAUGAAGAUAAUGACGGUAGUCGGAGAAGAAGCCCCGGCUAACUUCGUGCCAGCAGCCGCGGUAAUACGAAGGGGGCUAGCGUUGUUCGGAUUUACUGGGCGUAUAGCGCACGUAGGCGGUUUGUUAAGUCAGAGGUGAAAUCCCGGAGCUCAACUCCGGAACUGCCUUUGAUACUGGCAAGCUAGAGUCCGGAAGAGGUAAGUGGAACUCCUAGUGUAGAGGUGGAAUUCGUAGAUAUUAGGAAGAACACCAGUGGCGAAGGCGGCUUACUGGUCCGGAACUGACGCUGAGGUGCGAAAGCGUGGGGAGCAAACAGGAUUAGAUACCCGUGUAGUCC